AUAACUACUAAUGAUGAAGAAGGCUUCAUAGAUUGUGAUGAUGUUGGUGCAGAUGAAAAUGAAGAUGCUGAAAAUGCAAAAACAAACGGGUGCAAGUAGUGGAAGCUAAAAUAUAUUUGGAACCUUCC